rnacentral:rRNA from 1 species
UACGUAGGGCGCAAGGCGUUGUCCGGAAUUAUUGGGCGUAAAGAGCUCGUAGGCGGUCUGUCACGUCUGCCGUGAAAACCCGAGGCUUAACCUCGUGGCUUGCGGUGGAUACGGGCAGACUAGAGGUAGGUAGGGGAGAACGGAAUUCCCGGUGUAGCGGUGAAAUGCGCAGAUAUCAGGAGGAACACCGGUGGCGAAGGCGGGUCUCUGGGCCGAUACUGACGCUGAGGAGCGAAAGCGUGGGGAGCAAACAGG